GAUGAACGCUGGCGGCGUGCCUAAUACAUGCAAGUCGAGCGAACAGAUAAGGAGCUUGCUCCUUUGACGUUAGCGGCGGACGGGUGAGUUACACGUGGAUAACCUACCUAUAAGACUGGGAUAACUUCGGGAAACCGGAGCUAAUACCGGAUAACAUAUUGAACCGCAUGGUUCAAUAGUGAAAGGCGGCUUUGCUGUCACUUAUAGAUGGAUCCGCGCCGUAUUAGCUAGUUGGUAAGGUAACGGCUUACCAAGGCAACGAUACGUAGCCGACCUGAGAGGGUGAUCGGCCACACUGGAACUGAGACACGGUCCAGACUCCUACGGGAGGCAGCAGUAGGGAAUCUUCCGCAAUGGGCGAAAGCCUGACGGAGCAACGCCGCGUGAGUGAUGAAGGUCCUCGGAUCGUAAAACUCUGUUAUCAGGGAAGAACAAAUGUGUAAGUAACUGUGCACAUCUUGACGGUACCUGAUCAGAAAGCCACGGCUAACUACGUG
rnacentral:rRNA from 1 species